rnacentral:rRNA from 1 species
UAUACGACCGUACCGCAAACCGACACUGGUGCGCGAGAUGAGUAUUCUAAGGCGCUUGAGAGAACUCAGGAGAAGGAACUCGGCAAAUUGACACCGUAACUUCGGAAGAAGGUGUGCCCUAUUAGUGUGUAGUGAACAACGAAGCAUGAAUGGGUUGCAAAAAAUCGGUGGCUGCGACUGUUUAUUAAAAACACAGCACUCUGCAAACACGAAAGUGGACGUAUAGGGUGUGACGCCUGCCCGGUGCUGGAAGAUUAAAUGAUGGGGUGCAAGCUCUUGAUUGAAGUCCCAGUAAACGGCGGCCGUAACUAUAACGGUCCUAAGGUAGCGAAAUUCCUUGUCGGGUAAGUUCCGACCUGCACGAAUGGCGUAACGAUGGCCACACUGUCUCCUCCUGAGACUCAGCGAAGUUGAAAUGUUUGUGAUGAUGCAAUCUCCCCGCGGAAAGACGGAAAGACCCCAUGAACCUUUACUGUAGCUUUGUAUUGGACUUUGAACAGAUCUGUGUAGGAUAGGUGGGAGGCUUUGAAGCAGGGUCGCUAGAUCUUGUGGAGCCAACGUUGAAAUACCACCCUGGUGUGUUUGAGGUUCUAACCUAGGUCCAUUAUCUGGAUCGGGGACAGUGCAUGGUAGGCAGUUUGACUGGGGCGGUCUCCUCCCAAAGCGUAACGGAGGAGUUCGAAGGUACGCUAGUUACGGUCGGACAUCGUGACGAUAGUGCAAUGGCAUAAGCGUGCUUAACUGCGAGACUGACAAGUCGAGCAGAUGCGAAAGCAGGACAUAGUGAUCCGGUGGUUCUGUAUGGAGGGGCCAUCGCUCAACGGAUAAAAGGUACUCUGGGGAUAACAGGCUGAUACCGCCCAAGAGUUCAUAUCGACGGCGGUGUUUGGCACCUCGAUGUCGGCUCAUCUCAUCCUGGGGCUGUAGCCGGUCCCAAGGGUAUGGCUGUUCGCCAUUUAACAGGUACGUGAGCUGGGUUUAAAACGUCGUGAGACAGUUUGGUCCCUAUCUUCCGUGGGCGCUGCAGAUUUGAGGAAGCCUGCUCCUAGUACGAGAGGACCGGAGUGGACACACCUCUGGUGUAUCGGUUGUCACGCCGGUGGCAUUGCCGAGUAGCUAAGUGUGGAAGAGAUAACCGCUGAAAGCAUCUAAGCGGGAAACUCGUUUCAAGAUGAGAUCUGCCGGGGCCUUGAGCCCCCUAAAGAGUCGUUCAAGACCAGGACGUUGAUAGGUCAGGUGUGGAAGCG